AUUAUCCACCAACAUUCUCUCCAACACAGCUUCAUGGAAUUUAUGAUCUCAACGCUAUCAGCCAACUUCUCAUCCCUGAGACCUCUCCCCAGAUCCCGUGGCAAAAUGCUCAGGAUACCCAAUGGGAUGAGAAAAGAGAAAAGGCUUUGAAGUUAGACCUGGACUGGACAGUUUCAUUUCAAGGAGGGCAGAACAGGUAAAAGUCAUAAGUAUCAUUCAGGCUUACAUAGAUAUAUUUGAUGAUGUGAACCCAGGGAUCAAUGGAAUUGUCAAGUACAGGAAUCUUGGGCAACCAAGCACACCUGCCAUGCUUCAAGAAGAGCCAGUCACAUCAGUAUGGGGGGAGCCACUGGGGUUCUAGUCCAGUCACAGGUCAGGAUGCGAUGAUAUAGAUCAUGGAAGAAGGAUCGUUGUCCUUUCUAUCUUAUCCCUUUUGACCACACAACUAAGUCCUGGACUUAUUUUAUAUUGAUGUACUUUGUGCUAUGAGGACUUAAAACAGGCUGUAAAGGAUUCACUUCUAUUCCCACUGGACAAUGGCUGAUGAUAUCAGCAGUGAAGUUGUGACCUCCAGUGGGUAUUGGAAGAAACUGUACCAUUCUGGAUAGGUUAUUUGGGAAGCCCGUGUCUUGGUUGACUUCUCUUCAAUGUGUCUGGGUUUCCUGAAGUCAGAAGAUUUCUGUCUGUAGGAGUUCCAGGAAAUGAGCCCUCUGACAUCAAAAGACUCUUCGGUUAGAAUGUUUUCUUUGCAAUAAGACUUCCAGGCAUCAAUUCUAGGCACAACUGCUUCCAGUAUAAAAAGAAGGCUGCCUAAAACAAAGAAGAAAUAAACUUUCAUAACUCCCUUGCUCAUCUCCCAAAACAAGUCUACCUCUCAUCAAGUUCUGGGAAGAGUCCUGGAUGGUGCAUUCCGUGGAGGAUAUAAUAACACUGUGGUGUGUCAACUUGGGUAGGCAAAAUUAUAUUCCCCAGAAUUAACUUUCUAUAAUGUUUCUUGAUAAGUGGGCUACUAGAGAUAAUCUCUUGUGUGAAUUAGAAGAUGGAAGGGAAGUAGCAGCCAUUCUAUGGCAUACACACUACUCCCGGUUAUUUAAGCAUGAAUAUAGUUUCUGCUGCAAAGGGAUUUUCCAGAUGUACUAGAAUACCCUAAUCAGUUGACUUUGAGUUAGAGGAAUUGUCCUGGGUGGGCCUGACUUAAUCAGUUAGAAGGCCUGAAAACCUAGGUAAUACCAUUCAGGACAUAGGCAUGGGCAAGGACUUCAUGUCUAAAAUACCAAAAGCA